UAGCAAGACAAUUACUUUGAUGUGACUAUAUUCUGAAAAACAACAAAACCUCCCACUGUAAGAAACCCUUGUGCUAUCUUUUGACUGAUUAAAUACCAUGCUUAAGUUUAAUCCAUUUGAUAUUUUGAUACUUUAGAUAUUGCAUAAGGGGAUAUUUUUAUUUGAUGCUUUUUAAUUUUUAAAAUGAUUAUCAGCUGUUUUUUAUCACACUUGUUAAAUGAGAUGAUAAUUCCUCAAAGUUUUAAUGUUAAUGGACAUCUCAGUCCACAGAGAAUUUUGUAUUCCAAACUCUUUAGAUUCAAUUUCAAUUCUUAAUAUCCUGACACAGCUGCUUCCUCACCCUGGUGGCAUCUCUAUUCCAUGACAGAAUUGCAAGUACUCAGUAAUGCUGUUCCAUCUCAGCCUCAUCAAUAUCUAUCAGCUGUUUGGUUCUCUGGGUUUGCUGCUGAAAAUCUUGAUCCAAGAAGCACAUAGUGCUAAGUACUACAUAAAACAGAAGUGGAACUCAGUUUCUUCCUCUCCCAAGAAAGUGUUUUGAUAGUUGGCCAUGUUUGUGCUUGUAGUGCCUGUGGUUUAGUGGUUCUUUAAUUAUUGAAAAGGGGAGAGAGAGAGAGAGCACUCUUCCCUUUUAAAUAUCCUAUAGCAUGCCAUUUAAGACAUUUUUCCACUGAGAUGUGGGAGUUAAGGUUUGAAUUUCCAUAAACAGUGGAAGGAAUUGAACUGAGGCUUCUCAUAUCCUAAGAGAGUGCUCUAACAUCUAAGCCAUUUAAAUACCUUAUGAAUGCAUUGCAAAUGGUAUUGCCUUCCUUGCCCUUUGAAAGGUAAGUCUCAAGAGCCUAUCCAGAACCUAAAGGAACAGAACUGCUUUUUUUCAACAAAGACUACUUAAGCACUUCGUGUGUUGUAAGUCAAGAUAGAAUCUCUCACUAGGAAUUAUUUACCUACAUUAAGCUGCUCCCAGCUCAGAAUGCAGCCUGUUGUAAAUCUGAGUGAUUUAAAGUUAUUGGUUCUGGUUCCAUGGCCAAGCACCUUAACUUGCAUGUUACUACUUAUAACAUCUAGUUAAUGCUAUGUUUUUGAGGAUCUGAGCUGUGAGACACUCAAGAUCACAAAAGAAAGCUAUGGAAGAGCAAAAUACCGAAUUCAGAUGUCAAAAAUCUUUAACAAAAAUCAACCUGCCUCUAUCACAUAUUUCAUCAGAACCAAUAGAUAAGUCAUAAGCAUGCUAUUGGCCUAUGCUCCCACCUUUCCUUGAUUACUGCACUUUCUUGCAUUGCAGUUGUAUUAUUGUUUGAAAGUACCACCCUCUUUAAAUGCGUAAUUGCAGUGAUUGUGCAAUCAUCGUUAUCUCUAUUCAUUACUAUAGCAACUGGAAUAAAAACAUUCUUCAGCCCUUCCCAUAUAAAAAGGUCUUCACUUUCCUUCAAUUUUAUGCAUAUGCUGAGUGAAUGUGUAUGACACAAUGGAAAUUGCAUGCUUUGAAGGCUGCUCAAGUUAGUGAGGGCGGAAAGUUAAAUUUCCCUGAAGUACUUGUUUUAAAAAAAAGGGAAGAAAACCUUCUGAUCUGCUCAGAAGGACUCAAAUUAAGUAAGUGUACUAUUUCUCCAGCUUCCUUCGUGUACUCUUGGCAAAGCAUUUCACCAGCUAGGAAGAGGAGCAAAGCAAGUAGGCAGCAAAAUAAGUCCCAGUAUGAUACAGAUGCUCAAGCUGUAUAUUCUAACAUUAGAACUUGAGUCUUUGCCCUGCCUAGGCUUUAAUGAGGCCUUGCUUACACUGAUAUCUUUGUAAUUACAGCUCCCAAACUUUGUCUAAGUAUAAUAACUGACAUCAUUAGCAUAAAUAAUCCAAAUCAUGAACAAAACUUCUUCUUUCUUCUUCCUUUCUUUAACUAUAGCAUCUGGAAGUGGCAGGUAGUGCUUGUUUGUCUUUUUAAUUAACACAUUCCUUAACACAGAGGAAAAUGUGAAAACUUAACUGAAGGGAUCUAUGUUUUUCUGGUAACAUCAAAACAAAAGUAGCAUGAUUUCUACCACAAAAAAAAUUCAAGGAUCUGAUGAUAUUUGCGCCCUAGCUACAGUCUGACGUACACAAUUGUUCCAGUAUUUUCACAGGGCCUGUAGGAAUUCCAUUGUCUUUGAGAUGUGUCAAAUCUUGUUACAAUUUGCCAACAGGUUGAGAAGUUACUACUUGAACUCAUGUGCAUGUACCCAUACACAACCACUCUGAUUGCACAAGUUUCAUUUCCUUAGGAAACCAGGCUGAAAACAGAAGGCAAAAAUAGGGAACUCAAAACUGUAUUCCAGUACAAUAUACCACAUACAUUCUAGUAAGUGAAUAGAUUGAGUUCUUCAUUUCUCCUGUACAGGCGAAAAGCAGUACAAUCCACUGCCUAUUGGAUUUAAAUGCAGUUAAUGUGGAUUCCAUUGUUUGCCAUUAGUUGUGUAAUUCUAGUUAAAUUCUCUCCCAUUUCUCCUUUUGCCUGCUUAAACAAAAUUUGGUCAGGCAGGAGCAAGUGUUUUCUCCAUUCUUCAGAGUGCUUAGCAUGUUGCUGCCCACAAAAGAAUCUGAAGAUGACUAGAAACACAUAGGCUGCAUUUCUCUAAUUAAUAAUCAUACGAAAAGCCAGAACAGAAACAAUAUCUGAGGUUUUCAGUAACCAGUACAUCAAAGAAGAGAGGUGUAGGCAGCUAACUUUUUGAAAUCAGCAUAUAGAUCAAAGGAAAUUCAUUCUAAACUUGGAUUAUUUUUUUUUCCUGGAUCAUUUAAAGCAGAUAAAUAAUUAAGCUAAAGGAUGCAAAUAAAUAAAUAAAUAUGGAGGAUGAAUCCAUUUACUAGUUUUUUCUACUCUGAAGAAUAGAACUGGGUAGAAUAGGAUACUUAAGCAGACAUUUCUUUGGCUUCUUAGAAAAGCAUGGGAAUCAUAUGGGUUAGUAAUGGUCCUGCUUAUUAUUUCUCCUGUUUCUGAACUGAGAAUCAAUGCUACAUCAAGAAAUUCUGGCUAGUUUUGAUGUUACUGGUGAUGCAAGUGCUGAUAACUUGGCAGAGGUCUUGAAGCAGAGCUAAAAAGAGUUACAAAUGCCUGGCCUGCUCUGCACCUUACUGUAAACAGCCUGAGGGAUGGGUUCUGUGAUAAGAGGGUAAGCCUACACCACGCCCUAGAUUCAGUUACAUGAGAGAGGGUGACACAUUUUCAUCCACACUAACUCUUUGAUGCUGUUUACCUUUACUUUCCCUUCAGUUCAAACUAAAAUACUGAAUUUGUGCCUCGGGUUUAGCAGCUCUAAAAUAAGGGUCCUAAAUUGUUUAAAAAUCAUCCUUGACUUAAGUCUGAGACAGUUUCAUUGUCUAUAAAAAUUAUGCCCCGAAUUAAUGCAAAAAAUGAUACCCCAAAUUCUGUGCAAAUUUUGAGAAACAGUCAAUGAAAUCUGAUCUUAGUUCAUACUAGAGGUCUACCAUUCUCAGUUUGUAUUAAAUCAGUAACAAGAUUUAUACGGGAAAGCCACCUCCUUCCUUCAAUACUUUUAGAUCUUGUAUGAGAAGGCAGUCACUAGAUGCCCUCCUUUGCUUCACUCUUUAUUCCUAAGACUGUCCCUUGAGAAUCCCAGGCCAUAAGAGCCUGGGGAAAGGAAUACUUCCCCUUGGUCAAAUAGGAUCUGAUCAGAGAUAAUCGAGGCAAAUUCAGUGCAUGUAAAUCCACGGAGCUCACUGGGCUCCUAUGAGUGCUGAGAGAGCUGGCAGAAAUGAUUGCCAAGUAGUUCUCUAUCAUCUUUGAAAGGCUGUGGGAAUGGGAGAGAUGCACGAGAACUGGAGUAAAGGCAGUGUCUUCAAAAAGAGCAAGAAGGAGUAAAGGGGAAGCCACAGGCCAGUCAGCCUCACCUCUGUCCUUUGGAAGACAAUGGAGCAGCUUAUUCUGGAUAUAAUCUUCAAGCAAGUUGAAGAAUAGAAGUUUAUCAGGAGUGGGGAACAUGGAUUCACCAAGGAAAAAUUGUGCUUUGCCAGUCUGGUAACCUUCUGUGAUGUCAUAACUGGCUGGAUACAUGAGGGGACAGCAGUGGAUGUUGGCUAUCUUGACUUCAGCAAGGCUUUUGACACUGUCUCCCAUAACAUCCGUAUGGGUAAACUUAGGAGGUGUGGAAUUGGGUUGCAUUGGAACUGUUGAGUCAUGGUCUGAACCACUGAUUGACCCCUGAGGGGAGGACUGAGUCAGCUAUGGGAGCACAGGUGAAGUCAAUUCACAUUUGUGACCAGAAGGGAUGGAGCCUGGCCGCACCCCUCCUAGACUCCAUUUAAGUGCUGACCCCCAUGGGGGAAGGUUUACUUUUUGGAGGUACUUCCUUUUGGACUUUUCUGCUGUGAGCUGAGGAUAUGUAAGAGGCACAUGCCCUACCACCUGCACAGGAACAAACAACCUGAAAAGCACCUUGAGAUGCUGUGUCACAGAACAAAGACUCCUGGGUACAUCUGCUUUGGAUAUGGAAUGUGUGAACUUUUGUGGAAAAGAGUUCAAAUGUGAACAGAUAUUUGAAUAGGCUGUAGUCAUUAUGAAAUUAUCAAAUAUAAGCAAAUCCACACCCUCAUCUUGGUGAAUUCAACAAGGGAAGAUGGCUUAGAUAUCUACUGGUAUUGUCAACAGUUUGAGACUAUUGUUUCAUCUGCUUCAUCUUCUCUGUCUAGAGAAGAUAAGAAAUAAUUUAGUGCAUUUUCUCCUAACUUUACUACCAGGAAUGGUACAAUACACAGGAAUCUGGUAGCAAGUCGUAGCUUGGAAAAAUUCUGCUCUAAUAGUUGAUGCUUGCUAUUUUUAAAAAGGAAAGAGUUGAAAACUAUAAGGAUAUACAAAUAAAGUUGGUAAUAUUGUUGUUAAACUGUUGUCUUACUCUGGUUUUUUAUGCUCUGCUUUUAUUUUGACACAGCCUGUAUGAGCACUUAAAAAAAAAAAAGUGCUAUGAUACAUAAUAAAAGUGAGCUUCUGGGAAAUCUGUGCCUGUCAGGUAGUGAUUUUAUGAAACCCAAGAAAAAAAAAUAGCAUUAAUCUCAUCACCAGCUACCAGUUGCUACCAGUUUCUUCUUUAUUUCAAAUAGCUUCUAUUUAAUCAGAAUUCCUGAACAGUCAGACCCGAACUUUUCUCACACUAAGCUAUUUCAGGUUGCACAGGUACAUUUGAGAAGUGUUUUCCCUCAGAUGUUUGUUGAAGCCUUGGAUUUAAUCUAGAAUUUAUGAGUGAAUUUCAUGUUGAGACACAUCAUGAUUACCUGCCAUGUGGUUUCACAAGGGGGUCAUUUUGCCUUUCUUACUAUUCCUUUCAAAGAAAUUUUUAAAAAUCUGGUAACUUUAGUGGAUGAGCUAAUUAUAAUGAAGUGUUAUCUUCCUUUUUGCAUACAGCUCUCAUAGAUAUCACAUAAGACAUAACUGCCAACAGAGCUUUACUCAGUGUUGAAUGAAUGAUCAAAGAAUUGCCCUUCAAGUUAUUUUAAUUAUGGAAUUUGGAAAUGAUGACUUAAGGAUGAAGCAGUACUCCAAAUUUAUUGUCUAUUCAUAUAUUGCUUGUCAGCUUCCUUGAUAACUCAGCUAUGGUCUCAUACUGAGUAUGAGAAAUUCACAUGUGACAGUGAUUUCAAAUAAGUUAGCUAACUAACCUAACUCAACUGUAAAUACUAUAAGCUGUCAACAUUGCAACAGCUAAGAGUCUUUUCUCAGUUGUGAGUUUAUGAUUUAGAAAACACUUAUUUCUGGUUUGAAGAUGAAGUAAAAAUUGAAAAUGUAGAUAUUAAUCAUAAAUUCUACAUGUGCUUUUAAAGAUAUUGAAGCCUCUUAAAUCCAACUCUCAGUCCAGGACUUGUGUAUAGGAAUACCAUCUGUACUUUAAGUAGUAAGGGAUGAAAGCUUUUAGCUAGAAUGAGAAAAAGAUUCUCGAUUCCAUUAAAACUGCAGUUUCCUGUGAAGUGAAAGUUACAUUUCUUUAGCAGAUAAGACUCUACCUUUCUGUUUAUAUGGCAUCUAACAUCUGAUGAAUAAAACUAGAAAUCUUGUAAAGAAAUUCUAUAAAGGAGAAAUCUAAGUCACUGAACAAACUAGCAGGCAGAGAAAGGAGUAAAGAUCCAUGCUGCAUACAUCACUGAGUAAGGAACAUGAAAACACUAUUCUUAUUGAAUCACCUCCCUGGCAUGUGUUCACCUAAUGUAAAAAUUAUUCUACUAGAGAUGUAACAUUGGUCUCAGAUCUUUCUCUUCCAUGUUCUCCCUCUCCUUUCAAAGCAGUAAUUUAUUUUCUAUCUUUUAGGAAGUCAAUAAUGUGUCCUUUAUAUAUAUAUAUAAACAAAUAAAUUAUUCAUUCUUUAAAGAAGGAAGCAACAUCACAGCAAAGGAGGAGGAAGGAACUACAUUGCCUUUUUAUUAUGAGGUAGCAUGCCAUGUGUGGCUAAUGGGAGUCUACAGCCUUCCUCCAGAGUGUAUGUCUAAAUAUUUCCUUACCUUCUAUUAUCCAUGAUUCACUGGUUACUCUAAACUGAACCACCUGAGCAUAUAAGUAGUGCUUGUAAUUUAAAUAUCAACUAUUCUAUCACUCUUAUACUCCAUUCUACUCUCUGAGGAAAUUAUUCUAAUUGCUGUAUUUAUAUAUAUGUAUAUAUAGUUAUGGAAAUUGGAAUGCAGGUGUAUAUAUACACACAGGAAUGACCAGAAUUGCAAGCCUCCACAUUGCUCUUAGGUGAACACUGUAAACAAUUAGUGUGUCUCUUGCUGACUGCAUGAGAGUGCACAUGACAGAAUGUUGCUUUCUUCUAGAGUGUCAAAAAAGCAAGGCAAGAACAGAUGCCCUCUGUUUUGAACUACUUUCACUUUCACGGGGAAAAAACAUAAGAUACAUAUUUAUAACAGAAAAGGGGCCUUAUAGUUAGAGCCUAAGCUGUGCUGCAUUCAGCAUUUGAUUACUUAAUCAACGGGCAACCCCUACUAUAUAUCUUUCAUCAGUAGUGCAAGGGAGUGAUAACUUCAAAGAAGCAAUUAUCGGAGAUUAUUGUAGAUAAGUGCAGGGAGUCCUAGAUGUCAUCACCAGUGUUUCUGAGCUUUGUGGUGAUUGAUUAAAGAAGCAUGUCAUUCAGCACUGAUCUACACAGGAAUAAAUGUCCUCAGGUUCUGAAGUCUUAAAUAGAUCUUCCCUAUACAGCCAGGGUAUGUGUUGGCUUUAGAAGGUGAAGAAAGAAAAAGAACAAAAAGUUCUGUAAAGAGAUGUCAAAGGCCAUUGGAGAAAGAUUUUAAAAAGAGGGACAGUAGCACAUGGGAAAAUGGUCAGGAGCUGCCAAAAAUGAAAGAGUAAUAACCAGCUGUUUGUUAAAUUGAACCAACUGACUAUAUAUCUUCAAAGCAAUAUAAACUCAAAAUUUAUGAGGCCUACCUGUGAGGUGCUUUUACUUAAGGUAAAAGCUGCAAUUUAUAAAGGUUACCGAACACUUGUACUGUUUUAAAGGUUUGUUCUCUGAAUUCAGUUAGUGCUUUCAAUUGGAAAAAAAUACUUAUUGUUUGUGUUUAAUGUAUGUUUUUUUCACCUUAAAACAAACAUACAAGACUUCAGCAGGUCUACCAUUUUAGUGCAUUUGAAUAAAAACUGCAAAAUCCCAAGUGGCUUUGUAAAUAAGAGACCAUAUUAUUUAAAUGGAAGUAGCGGUUGAUAAAAGUAUGAUCGUGUUUAGGUAUAUUAGUAUAAUGUGGUUUUAUAUUUAAUAAUUGAUUAAUUGCUUUUUUCAUAUAUCUAUUCCUAGACAGUAUUCCCAUUAAAUUAUUCUUUAUCUAUCCUUUGAACUGUAUUUUAUAUUAGGAAUGGCAGCUCUGAGAAUUUAAUAUGAGGCAAGUUUAUAAGAACUGAAGACUUGACAAUGGCCUAAGAAGCAAAGUAUCAUUCUGAACCUAGACCUACAUCCUUGAUUUUGGAAAUGUUUUUUCCAGUAAAAAAAAAAAGCAAGAGCACCAGUUUAUAGUAUCACUCCGUAUUGCAGCACAGUAAGAAACGAUUUGGCGUGCCAGUUCCUCUUAAGUAAAACAGUCUGUGCAUAAUGUGAAGAAUAAACAACAGGGCUCAUUUAAAAAUGAUGUAAAGGGCCAUUAGGCACUUAAUUCCUGGAGGCUCUGUAGAAAAUUCAGUUACAAAGAAUAUCUAGUCUGGCCUAUUGUGUUCUGUUUGUGGCAUAGCAUCACCUGUUGGUGUUUGAUCUAGUUCAUAAUCUCAUAUACUAUGAACUUCAUGUGUUUAAAAAUAAGCUGAUGUAUAACUACAGUUAAUUAGUGUUAGUAAUUGAGGAGUACAGUAAUGUAUUGGACUCAAAGCGAGUCUGAUUGUAAAUCAGGGCAUUAAUCACUUAAAUUGAAUAGAUACAUUAUCAAUUAACUGCUGGAAAAUUUGAUUCUUAAUUGAUUUGUGAUGAUUUUAAAAUUAUUCCUAGAUAUUGCCAUGUGUUUCAUUUUAUAUUUUUUCCUGAUGCAUGUUUCAGAAUUGAGUCUGUCGAUAAAAAUCAACAUACAAUAUCAGAAUGUAAAAUUAAAAUGUAAAGAAGUAAAUUCCUAAUUUAUUUUUCUCAGUUGUGGUGUCUGUUUUGUAUUACUCUUAAGGCUGACAAAUCCAGAAAGAUAAUAUGCUGCUACGUCAAAGCCAAGAUGUAUGGAUUUCUCAGGAAAAUACAUGUGCAGAUUUGCAUCCCUUGAGUACACACAAAGUAAAAGAUUUGCGAAGUCUUUCCAGUGAUGCUGAAAUCUUUUCAGGGUGAUGAAGGCACUUAUAAUGUAUGCUGUUCACUGUUUGUAAAAUAAUAGAUGAACAAAGAAAAUACUCUAAAGAAUA